rnacentral:piRNA from 1 species
UGAAAAAAUAUCUUCAGUGACA